GGCUCCAAUAUUAUGUUACGACCUAUUCUAACUGAUGGAGCUAUUAAGGUGGGUCAAAAGAGGGGAAGGUCACUUGUUGAAUUGGAGGAUGGUGGGCAGCUCAAGAAGAAAGUACGGCUUGGUACUCCAGCUACACAGUGGAUCUCAGUCUAUAAUUUCAGAUUGUCAAUGAAGCAGAGGUAUCACUACAAUGUAAUGGAUUCAAGAAUUGACCAGCAUGUGGUGAAAGGGAAGGAAGAUGGUUUGUAUAUUAGCUGUGUGGCCUCAUCUGCAAAUUUGUGGGCCAUUAUUAUGGACGCGGGAACAGGGUUUACAUCACAGGUUUAUGAAUUAUCUCCCUUUUUCUUACACAAGGAGUGGAUAAUGGAACAAUGGGACAAGAAUUACUAUAUCACUUCUGUUGCUGGCACAGCUAAUGGCAGUGCCUUGGUUGUUAUGUCAAAGGGUACUCCUUAUACUCAACAAUCCUACAAAGUUAGUGAUGUAUUUCCUUUCAAAUGGAUCAAUAAAAAGUGGAAAGAAGGCUUCUCUGUUACCUCAAUGACCACUGCAGGUAGCAAGUGGGGCAUUGUAAUGUCCAGGAAUGCAGGUUAUCCUAGUCAGGUUGUUGAGCUUGAUUUCCUCUAUCCCAGUGAGGGGAUCCAUAGAAGGUGGGAGAAUGGAUAUCGAAUAACCUCAACUGCUGCUACAGCAGAUCAAGCUGCAUUCAUACUUAGUGCUCCCAAGAGGAAAUCACAAGAUGUGGCACAGGAAACCUUGCGGACUUCUGCAUUUCCUAGUACUCAUGUCAAGGAUAAAUGGUCAAAGAAUCUAUACAUUGCAUCCAUCUGCUAUGGGAGAACAGUAUCAUGAAGUUGGGACUUUGGAAGAAAAACCACACAUGCAAACAAGCAGGAGGUUGGUGGUUUGCGUGGCAUCACCAUUGUGGACUUUUUAGAGGAUUCAAAAGUCUUGGAGU
rnacentral:misc_RNA from 1 species